UUUAUAUCACAAGUUUGCAGUUUCAGCAGGGAUUACAAUAAAUAAGUAUUUAUUAUUGUUUAGGGAUGGCAAGAUUUUGUGAACCAGAGGCACCUCCACAUAUGCACCUGCGGCACUUCUGCAGCCUCAACAGCACGGAAAAGUACCUGAUGUGCAUGCUGUGACAAGCUGCUGUAGGUAUGGCUGGACCUGGAGAAGAAGUGUAAGCAGACCAUGCUAUGUUGCUGAUCUGCGCUGAUCUCCACAUCCAAGUUGGUCCCGCGACAGUUGGGCACCAUUGUGCCUUGCUUCAUUGACAAGGUGAUAUAAUAUGGUGCCCUGCUCGCUCUCACCCAAGCAACCCACUCCAGCGGUCUUCUCUCGGCAGACUGGAUGCAUCGAAAUACCGUUAGAAGGUCCAAUAAACAGUGCUUGGGACAUUUA